GAUGAACGCUGGCGGCAUGCCUAAUACAUGCAAGUCGAACGAGAGACCUUCGGGUCUCUAGUGGCGAACGGGUGAGUAACACGUAGGGAACCUGCCCGCGCACCGGGAAUACGCUCUGGAAACGGAGAACAAAUCCCGAUGUACAGGAAGGAGGCAUCUUCUUUCUGUGAAACAUCCUUUAGGGGAUGGGGCGCGGAUGGACCUGCGGUGCAUUAGUUGGUUGGCGGGGUAAAGGCCCACCAAGACGAUGAUGCAUAGCCGGCCUGAGAGGGUGGACGGCCACAUUGGGACUGAGACACGGCCCAG
rnacentral:rRNA from 1 species